AACGAACGCUGGCGGCAGGCUUAACACAUGCAAGUCGAACGCACCGCAAGGUGAGUGGCAGACGGGUGAGUAACACGUGGGGAUCUGCCCAAUGGUACGGAAUAGCUCCGGGAAACUGGAAUUAAUACCGUAUGUGCCCUUCGGGGGAAAGAUUUAUCGCCAUUGGAUGAACCCGCGUCGGAUUAGCUAGUUGGUGAGGUAAAGGCUCACCAAGGCGACGAUCCGUAGCUGGUCUGAGAGGAUGAUCAGCCACACUGGGACUGAGACACGGCCCAGACUCCUACGGGAGGCAGCAGUGGGGAAUAUUGGACAAUGGGCGCAAGCUUGAUCCAGCCAUGCCGCGUGAGUGAUGAAGGCCUUAGGGUUGUAAAGCUCUUUCGCCGACGAAGAUAAUGACGGUAGUCGGAGAAGAAGCCCCGGCUAACUUCGUGCCAGCAGCCGCCGUAACAC
rnacentral:rRNA from 1 species